rnacentral:lncRNA from 1 species
UUUUUUUAAUUUUUAUUUCGAUAUCUCUAUUUAUUAAGUAUUAAAUCUUGGUACAAGGUUAGGUUGCAGAAGCCGCAACAAACAGCCUCGGCAUUUUCACCUUGCAUGAACAGCUGCCUUGGUAUGGUUUCAUCAGCACCAACACGCGUGGAGGAUUCCCAUUGGCUAUGUUACUUGCAGAAGCCGUAAACAUAGCAAGGUCCUCUUAAAUCUCGAUGUGGUUAGAGACUUAUGAGUAGGGAUUAUUGAUGGGAUGGGUACUGACUAACAACUGAUCAUCGUCAUUUUUGCCUCCACGUCGACCCACCUGAUUUCUUUUCUCAUUCUCGUAUCAUAUGUAUCUAUGUAUUUUAUUUUUUUUUCCUUUUUUUUUUUCAUUUGAUAGAGGACGAGUCAUGGAACUUUCUGAAAAAAAAAAAAAGCUUUGCGGUUUUAUUUAGUUUUAUUUUAGCUAAAUUACAAAUUUUUGAACGAGAGUAUCUUUCUAAAAAUUGAUUUGCUAACGUUAACAUCUCGAGUCUUCUUUCAUAACUUGAUCAAUUAAUGACAACAGUUUAUGGUAAAAAAAUAAAAAGUAAAAAAUAGAGAAAAACGUGAAAAAAGAGACGGUUGAUAGAGAGUCCUUGUGAUGUAAUUUGGUCGUCGAUAAAGACGUGAAAGGAGGAGUGAAAGGUCAAACUAACGCAAAUUGAAUGAUUUUGAUUUGAGUUCUUUUCUACUAAUUGAAUUAAUGAGUUCCUCAUGUUACGUUAAUUAUAAUUAUAACGUAGCACCGGUCUUAAUUA